GUUCCCUCCCGAGCAGUGGCUUGGGACCGAAGCUUAGAAGUGGCACAGUGAGGGCGCACCUGGUCCUCCCUGAAGAGGCUUCAGUUCACGGUUGCAUCCCCACCCCUCAGUUCCGACCAUUUUCAGACACACUGGCCCAGAAACGUUUGUAAUUAAAGGGUUGUUUGAAAGUACAAACCCGAGCAAAGUAGCUCUGUAAGAUUUGCUGAUUGGCUCAGAAGUCAGCUUGCACCGUCUAGCUGCAGGUCAGGCGGAAUUCCACUCUCCUGCUUCUCUGCAGACAAGGGUGAUGUACAAUCUGUGUGUCCUUGGCACACUUGGUAACCAAUUCCAGUCUCAUUUCUGCCUUUAUGCUGAGAUCAGCAUUCAGAAGUGCAGUGAGUGGAGAGGAAACAUUCCUUUCGUGAUUCUACCUCUGACUGGAGCGCCACAGUAUGUUUAAGAGCACAUGAUCUAUAUACCACUGGACACAAUCUUCUCUGCAUUUGGUGUACUUCAUUUGCUAUCUCAGAUAUUUGAACUCAAUCAAUGUUGAUUAAUGAAGAAACCAAGAAUGCUCUGACAUUAACCUUACAAAUGCUUUCUUAGGUCAGUCUCCCAAGGCAACAGAAAUAAAAGUAAAAACAAACCAAUGGGACCUAAUCAAACUGACAAGAUUUUGCACAGCAAAGGAAAUCA